rnacentral:miRNA from 16 species
CAAGCUCGAGUCUGUGGGUCUG